AAACUGAACCUACCGUGGCCCGACCCGACCCAAACUCGUUGCACCAACGGGCAACCCCCAAGCCCCAACCAGCAAAACCGAAGCUAUUGGAAAACUUUCCUGUGUGCCGAAGCGAGAGAGCAUGUCUUCUUUCUCUAGAUUUUGGACGGCACAACGCCGAUCGUGUGGCCUACGAACGAAAAACGGGAGAAGGGGAAACCGAUAUCCUUCGAGUGACAUACACGCAUGCAUCUGCAUGCGUAUUCCGCUGAACCGAGACUACACAUCUCUCUCGAUCUCCCAUGAUUUUUCUGCUAUCACGCUCAACCGGGUGUUAGGCAUCCUCAGUCUGUCCAGAACUUUCACUGUGGAAGGAUGUGUUGGAGCGAUGUGUGAUUUCUUGUGCCCCGUACUUUGCUCGUUUACGUUUUGUGCCGUGUUCCUUCUUCUUCAAUUAUGGAAUGAUUUAUCCUUGUAAAUUUCUAAGGUAAGUUUCUUGUGUGUGCUUGAAUGUGUACAUUAAACUAACGCUUGUCGUCUAAAAAGUUACAGGUGCACGCGCAUGUUAAUCGACGGUUGCCAACAUCCCGCAAAACGAUCGACGGAAGGAAAACGGUGUCCGGUUUUAAAAUAUUAAGAUUUCAUCACAGCUCUUUCGUAGAAGAGCGCACUUCAAGGACGCCUAGGAUACGGCUAAACAUGCGCAGCACCAGUCCGUGACGUCAUUUCCAGACAGGCGCCGGCUGAACACGCGCAGCACCAGUCGAGGAUGUCCUAGCGAGAAGGGCAGAAGGAGGAACGAGAGGAAGGGUAAAAACGGAAAACGGUGUCCGGUUUUAAAAUAUUAAGAUUUCAUCACAGCUCUUUCGUAGAAGAGCGCACUUCAAGGACGCCUAGGAUACGGCUAAACAUGCGCAGCACCAGUCCGUGACGUCAUUUCCAGACAGGCGCCGGCUGAACACGCGCAGCACCAGUCGAGGAUGUCCUACCGAGAAGGGCAGAAGGAGGAACGAGAGGAAGGGUAACGGAACCGCUACAAUUGUAGGGGGUGAAUCAUCCAGCCGUGUACAGAGUGUGAGUGUGCCAAAACGCAUGUGGAAAGAGGAGGUCCAAUAAAUAGCAUGCGAAAGUGUGCAUAAAGCAAAAAGAAAAAGCGUCACUACUACAACCAGCAAUCCGAAAAUAUAAGGGGAGGGAUAAAUACAAAUGUAUGCGUGAGCAGGACCAGCAAUCCAAGCAUUUGAAUGUGUGCGUCGGUUUGUGCCGUGCUGAAAGUUUUUACUUUAGCUGCUGCUAGUGUAAAAACUUAAGGAAAGCUUAAAGUAAAAUUUUUUUACACGGGGCGCCUUCGGAAAUUGUUGGCUGGGUACUUGUACCUUUCGGGUCGACCCGAACGACUCCGGGUCGCUUACGGAUGGCUCCGACCCGAUAGGUUCGGGUCGACCGCCAAUCACUAAUAGACGUACGUCGAGUCCGAAGAAUCACCGCGCUUUAUAGUGCGCCCUUUUGUAACAUGUACAAUAAAGCACUAAAUGCUCUACGAAUAACGAGUAAAAUCUCGCAUAACGAGCAAUUUCAUUUUUGUUCCCGAUAAGAAAUCGUGAUCAUUUUAAUACUUAAAAUUGUUAAAUAUCAAGCUAUUUCCAAAAGAAUCAGGUAUAAGUGUGGCUGAAAAGUGCAUGGGAGGUGACACCCACCGCCAGCCUAAAAUUCACGAAGUCAUACAAAAAUCGAAAAAAGCCGGGUCGGGCCGUGAGCGCGUUCACUCCACGUCCAAUUCUCUUCAGAUCAGAUAGCGGAACUGAGAGUUUUGAUGCGCUUAUCGAUUGGUGGAGUAAGUCAGGUAGUGUCUUCAGCUUAAUUACUCCAUUUCUUUCCUUCUUAUUUGACAAUAUUUGAGGCUCUCUUCGGCUUCGGCCGUGGAAGUGGGCAGGACGUGAAUUUUAGUGUGUAGUAUACCUCCCUAAGAAGCGUGUGUUUCACAAGUGUGAGGUGUAUUGAUGAGUGUGUUCUUGCAUGCAUUCUUGAUCUACUCGCUCAUGAAGGCGAAAAUUUUGAUACUAAUAAUUGAUCAAAGGAUUACUGUUGCCACAUAGAGGUGUUCCGUAUGGUUGUGAAGCAUAUAAUCCCUAUAUACUCGCACUUUUCUUGACCUGGAACCAAUUAUUUCACUUUUCAUAUAAAUUGGAUAAAAAAGAGCCUUCCGCUAUGCAGUGAGUCAUUGGAACGGAUUAAACUCGUUAUGUGGGGUUCCACUAUACAAGAAUUGAUUGGACGCGUUAUGAACAUAUUUUAACAACACUUAGAGAGAAUAAAAUUGAACUUAUACACACAUAUACACACUAUACAUGUUCGCAAAUAGAUUAAUGAAACUGCGGAGGUGGUAGGGGGCAGUCAACUUCAAAUGUGCAAUAGUGAGAUUUUUUGUUUUGUUUUCUUUUCUGUCCCUCUCCUUCCCCAAACAAUAUUCUGAUAGUGCUUAAAUGUGAUUGGUUUUUAUUUAAAUAUUUUAGCGCACGCACACGUGCGGCUCAUUAUUGAACUUGUGUGUGUGCGAGCGUGUAGAAAGGGGAGUUGAUCCCAUCGCGAAAACACACAUUUAUCGCAAUAUCCAUGCAAUGUUUCUCAAAAGUUUUCAUAUCGCCAAUUUUCGACUCGUCCGAAUUGUAAAGGGAGAGGGGUAGUUCGUUGCGCCCCGCUCUCUUAAAUAGUACUGUUGUGGGCAGCCGUGCCGA